rnacentral:rRNA from 1 species
UACGUAGGGUGCAAGCGUUGUCCGGAAUUAUUGGGCGUAAAGAGCUCGUAGGCGGUCUGUCGCGUCGGAUGUGAAAAUCCAGGGCUCAACCCUGGACCUGCAUUCGAUACGGGCAGACUAGAGUUCGGCAGGGGAGACUGGAAUUCUCGGUGUAGAGGUGAAAUUCGUAGAUAUCGAGAGGAACACCGGUGGCGAAGGCGGCUAUCUGGACGAUGACUGACGCUGAGACGCGAAAGCGUGGGGAGCAAACAGG